AGCUACAGCUGGACACGUGCAGGAGACUGCCAGAAACCAGCCCACCUCAUCUGCCUCCUGCCAACAGCCUGGCACCCUUGGCUUGUCCCUUUGUCCAGUUACCCAGGACAGAGUGAAUGUGUCCUCUUUUACCAGUAAGGUAACAAUUUGUGAGGUGCAAAGAGCUUUCCACGCCAGGAAAUUGAAUCUUAUUCCAAUUCAACAAAGAUAAUGGGAGCGGAAGAAAUGCACAUCACCAGGGCACGGUGGCCCUCUAAUCCAUCCUGGAUUUUCUUCUUGCCAUCUUCCUGAAAACUUGUGCAAGGAUGCAGCAAACCCUCACAAAAAUGGAAAAAGCCCAGAGAGAAAUAAACAUCAGGGACUAGCAGGGAACGUGGAAGGUGCAUGGCUGGUACUGCUGGAAAUGGAAGGCAGCUGUUUUCCCAGGGCUGGAGAGAUGCUGAGGAUGCUGAGUGCGUGGGGGGUGAUUACUGACUACCUGCUUCCCACACCACAAUAUGCAAACACUUCAUUUAAGAGGCUCAAACAUCACCAGUUUCCCAAGCUCCUGCUGAACAUCUUCUGAUCUGUUCUCCUCUGCAUGACAGGAACUCGGGGAUCUCUCUGGAAGCCAGGCAGGAGGUAAAUUCAUGACCUCUUGGCUCCAGGAGGGGGAAUGGUUAUGUGUGGCAUACCUCCCUCCAGCACACCCUUUGCUGGGUGAUCAGGGAUCUUUCUUUGUCCCCAAGAGACUGAUUUCCCAAUUAACAAUACACUGCCAAUCACUCAGACCAGUUAAAUUCAACAAGGAAAUACAAACAUUAUUUAAAACAUCAGGUUAAAAGAACCAUUAGCUCUGUCUGCGUGUGUCUGUCUGUGCAGUCACCUCUGCCCUGUAGUUCUUCCACCUGGAACAGCCCUUGGACCAGCCCCCUCAGAGUUUUCUGAGAUCCAUCAGAAAAAACCAGAAGGCUGAGCUUCGUCCCAAAAAGCCAUCCAGGACUUCUUAGAACUAUAUUCAGGUCCAGAAAGCUGCAGCUGAAACUCAUACACAGCAAAAUGCACUGGGUUUAUCCUU